GCCGGCGUCUCAAUCUAUUUUACCAGGUUGACCUCGGAUCAGGUAGGGAUACCCG
rnacentral:rRNA from 1 species